AACUCUGAGUGAUGGAUCACUCAGCUCGUGCAUUGAUGAAGAAUGCAGCUAGCUGUGGGAACUAAUUUGAAUUACAGGACACAUUGAUCAUCGACACUUCGAACGUACUUUGCAGCCCUGGGUUACUCCCAGGACUAUGCCCAUUUGAGGGUCA